CCACGGGGGGCACCAGUGAGGAAUAUUGCACAAUGGGGGGAACCCUGAUGCAGCAACGCCGCGUGGAGGAUGACGCAUUUCGGUGUGUAAACUCCUUUUAUAUGUCAAGAAAAUGACGGUAGCAUAUGAAUAAGCACCGGCUAACUCCGUGCCAGCAGCCGCGGUAAUACGGAGGGUGCAAGCGUUACUCGGAAUCACUGGGCGUAAAGGACGCGUAGGCGGGUUGGAAAGUCAGGUGUGAAAUCCUACAGCUUAACUGUAGAACUGCACUUGAAACUUCUAAUCUAGAGUAUGGGAGGGGGAGAUGGAAUUAGUGGUGUAGGGGUAAAAUCCGUAGAUAUCACUAGGAAUACCUAAAGCGAAGGCGAUCUCCUGGAACAUUACUGACGCUAAGGCGUGAAAGCGUGGGGAGCAAACAGGAUUAGAUACCCUCGUAGUC
rnacentral:rRNA from 1 species